UAGCGUAUAUUAAAGUUGUUGCGGUAAAAAAGCUCGUAGUUGGAUUUCUGUUGAGGGCGACCGGUCCAUACCAUGUAUGUGCAUCUGGUUCGGCCUCGGCAUCCUUGCGAUAGACGUUUCUGCGCUUGAUUGCGUGGAGCGGAUUUCGCAACUUUUACUUUGAGGAAAUUAGAGUGUUCACGGCAGGCUAUCGCCAGAAUACAUUAGCAUGGAAUAAUACUAUAGGAUCUUGAUUCUAUUUUGUUGGUUUCUAGAAUUAGGAUAAUGAUUAAUAGGGACAAUUGGGGGCAUUCGUAUCAACACGUC
rnacentral:rRNA from 1 species